ACACACACACACACACACAAGCGCGACAAAAUUCCCUGCCUUUCUCUCUCUCUCUCCGCCUUCUUUUUCACUCACACUUCUUCCUGCCACAAGACCAGCCACACCGCUGUGCAAGUCUUUUCAACACAAACCCCCUACCUCUCCCUCUCACAGGUCUCCAUUGCCAUCAGCAUGUCCUACAAGGAGGCCGCUCCCAAGCGCGAGAAGGACGCCGCGGGUGCAGCAGCGGUGCCUGAGGCGGCCGCCGCGGGAAAUGACGGCAAGUACAUCCACCCCGAGGCAGCGUCCCUGUUCGCCAGGUGCCCGUGGGCUCGCCGCGUCCCCGUGUUUGGCGAGGCUGUCAAGGGCUACGGGCUCAAGUUCAUCGUCGCCCUCGGCGCUAGCAACCUGCUCUGCAAGGGCGUCGCGGAUCAGAUUCUAUAUGGUCAGACGUACGCCAUGAUGAUUGAUCGCUACGGCAUCGACGUGGCCCGCUACCAGCGCCUGUCUUCGAUUUCGACCAUGGGGUGGUCCAUCAAGGCCUUCACAGCGAUGCUCUGCGACGGCUUCGCCUUCCUCGGCUACACGAAGCGCUGGUACAUGUUCAUCUCCUGCGUCGGCGGUGGCGCGUUCGCGCUGAUCUACGGCCUCCUUCCGGCGAAGGAGGCGUCGGCCAACGUCGCGUGUGCCUUCAUCUUCCUGUCGAGCUGGGGCAAGGCCAACGUGGAUAUCCUGUCUCAGGGCCAUUACAGUCGACUGAUGCGCCAGAACCCGAAGCCUGGGCCGGCACUGGUGAGCUGGAUGUGGUUUUGCAUAAUGAUUGGCUCACUCAUCGCGACUGUGAUGAACGGCCCGCUCGCGGAUGCCGGGAAGCCGCAGAUCAGCAUCUUCGUGUCUGCCGCGCUGCAGGCCAUCACCUGCGUCUUCUACCUGUUCAACUGGUACGGGGAGAAGAAGAACCGCGUGCUGCGUUCCGAGGACGCGCUGUUUAUUCUGGAGGAGACGCGCAAGGAGCGUGAGCGCCUGGGCCUCGAGGGGGUGAACAACGGCACGGCGGGUGCGCAGCAUGGUGGUGCGGCGAAGGGGAAGAGGAGCCCGCAGCGCUCGCACUCGGAUGAAGGCGUGGAGGGUGCCGUACGGGAUGCCCUCAACGAUGGUCAGCGCGACAACGGCGAACUUGUGCAGGACGUCUACGACGACGCGUAUGACGACGGCGAAGAGGUGGCCGAGGGCGAGGUGUACUACGGCAAGCCGCCGGUGCCGUGCCUGUUCGGGCUGUUCGAAAUGAACAGGGAAGUGAUUUCGAAGAACUGGAAGAUCUUCGUGUACAGCGUUGUCAUGACCUGUGCUGUGAUCGCGAUGCUGUGUGCCAACAUCCUGGCCGACACGCUGGGCCUCCUGGUUGCGUGCGUCGUUGUGUCGACCAUCUGCUGCGCCGCGUCCUUCUGGGCCCUGCCGCUGGUGAUUGCGAAGGCCAACGUGUUUGCAUACCUGGAUAAGGCUGUUUCCAUCCGUGUGAGCGGUCCCCUAAACGCGUUCUACUUGAACACCUACGGCUGCCCCGGCAACCUGCCCAACUUCACCUACACCUUCUACAACACGGUGGCUGGCGUCAUCAACACUAUCGUUGGUAUGAUUACCGUGACGCUGUUCAACUUCCUGUUCGCGAAGCAUGGCUACCGCCUCACCUUCAUUGUGACGACAAUCAUGCAAGUUCUGGCAGCGCUGUUCGACAUCAUCAUGGUGAAGCGCUGGAACCUGUACAUCGGCAUCCCUGACCACGCCAUGUACAUCUGGGGUGAUGCUGUUGUGGGUGAGAUCGUGUACAUGCUUGGCUUUAUGCCGCAGAUCGUGCUGCUGUCUCGCCUGUGCCCUCGUGGCUCGGAGAGUGUCGUGUAUGCGCUGAUGGCGGGCUUCGCCCGCCUUGGCCGAACCACCGCGGCGUCUCUCGGUGCCAUCCUUCUGGAGUACGGCCUGCCUGUGUUCAAGACGCAGGAUGACGGGUCUCGCUGCAACUACGACAACCUGCCGCUGCUGCUGUUCCUGUGCAGCAUGUGCACGCCGCUGCUGGCGAUUCCGCUGAGCAUAAUACUGCUUCCGAAGGCGCGCAUCUGCGACGAUAUCGACAUUGACGGCAAGGUGGUGCGUCAGGCCGUGGAUAAGCAGGUCGCAGCUGCUCCGCUGUCGAGCUCCGACUCGGACGCGGUGAUGAAUGCCGAACCGCUUCAUGGGAACAAGGCGGAUGAGCGCGAGGCAGCGCGCGGGGAGGCGGUGGAGGGCAAACGGGCGGGCGCUUCAGAGAAAUAGCUGGCGCUGUGGAGUGCUGUGCGAAGUAUUGUGGCGCUUGACGGUUGUUGAAAGGGAGGUUAUGGAUGUCUUCAAGGAGUAUCGAUCCGGUAACGGAUGGCGCAUUUCUGGAUCAUCUGGUCUCUCUUCCUGCAUGAAUAGGUGUUCAGCGACGUUGAGGGUGCCGAGUGCAGCCUUUGCCUUUCGCUGCAUGUUGGGGCGGCAUUUGAUGGUUAGUCGCCAGUGGACGCGGAUCGGCCGGAGGGGUGCGUUUCAGACUCAGCGGAGUAGUUGAAGACCGAUGCGGCGGAUGACGGGCUUUCGUGGCGGCCUGUCUUUGCGGACAUGUUGCCGUUUUUCUGCAUUUGCCGAUGUACACCGCUUCGUCGCUAGCUCUCUCUCUCUCUCUUCGACACCACCUUUUCGCCCCCACCGACUUUGCCGUGGCCCCAGCCUCCUGUGCGCGUGUUGGCUGGGGUGUCUGAUGGUGGUGUUACCCGUCGUGCACCCGCCUGACCUGUCUGCGCCCCCUUCCGUCGUCGCGGCUCUGUCUGCCACGUGCGAAGAC
rnacentral:misc_RNA from 1 species